rnacentral:rRNA from 1 species
ACGAACGCUGGCGGCAGGCCUAAUACAUGCAAGUCGAGCGGCCCUUCGGGGCAGCGGCGGACGGGUGAGUAACGCGUGGGAACGUGCCCUUUGGUACGGAACAACUGAGGGAAACUUCAGCUAAUACCGUAUGUGCCCUUCGGGGGAAAGAUUUAUCGCCAUUGGAGCGGCCCGCGUUAGAUUAGCUAGUUGGUAGGGUAAUGGCCUACCAAGGCGACGAUCUAUAGCUGGUCUGAGAGGAUGAUCAGCCACACUGGGACUGAGACACGGCCCAGACUCCUACGGGAGGCAGCAGUAGGGAAUCUUGCGCAAUGGGCGAAAGCCUGACGCAGCCAUGCCGCGUGAAUGAUGAAGGUCUUAGGAUUGUAAAAUUCUUUCACCGGGGACGAUAAUGACGGUACCCGGAGAAGAAGCCUCGGCUAACUUCGUGCCAGCAGCCGCCGUAAAAC